rnacentral:rRNA from 1 species
GAUGAACGCUGGUGGCGUGCCUAAUACAUGCAAGUCGAGCGAACGGACGAGAAGCUUGCUUUUCUGAUGUUAGCGGCGGACGGGUGAGUAACACGUGGAUAACCUACCUAUAAGACUGGGAUAACUUCGGGAAACCGGAACUAAUACCGGAUAAUAUUUUGAACCGCAUGGUUCAAAAGUGAAAGACGGUCUUGCUGUCACUUAUAGAUGGAUCCGCGCUGCAUUAGCUAGUUGGUAAGGUAACGGCUUACCAAGGCAACGAUGCAUAGCCGACCUGAGAGGGUGAUCGGCCACACUGGAACUGAGACACGGUCCAGACUCCUACGGGAGGCAGCAGUAGGGAAUCUUCCGCAAUGGGCGAAAGCCUGACGGAGCAACGCCGCGUGAGUGAUGAAGGUCUUCGGAUCGUAAAACUCUGUUAUUAGGGAAGAACAUAUGUGUAAGUAACUGUGCACAUCUUGACGGUACCUAAUCAGAAAGCCACGGCUAACUACGUG